rnacentral:rRNA from 1 species
ACUCAAAGGAAUUGACGGGGACCCGCACAAGCAGCGGAGCAUGUGGUUUAAUUCGAAGCAACGCGAAGAACCUUACCAGGGCUUGACAUCCCUCCGACAGCCUCGUAAAAGAGGAUUCCCUUCGGGGCGGGGGAGACAGGUGGUGCAUGGUUGUCGUCAGCUCGUGUCGUGAGAUGUUGGGUUAAGUCCCGCAACGAGCGCAACCCUUGUCAUUAGUUGCCAUCAUUGAGUUGGGCACUCUAGUGAGACUGCCGGGGAUAACUCGGAGGAAGGUGGGGACGACGUCAAAUCAUCAUGCCCCUUAUGUUCUGGGCUACACACGUGCUACAAUGGCCGGUACAACGAGCUGCGAAGCCGCGAGGCGGAGCGAAUCUCAAAAACCGGUCCCAGUUCGGAUCGCAGGCUGCAACUCGCCUGCGUGAAGUCGGAGUUGCUAGUAAUCGCGGAUCAGAACGCCGCGGUGAAUGCGUUCCCGGGUCUUGUACACACCGCCCGU